rnacentral:miRNA from 1 species
GGAUUCCCAGGUAUACUUGAACUUAAAAAAAAAAAGAAAGAAAAUUUUUAGUGUAAAUAUGUCCUGAGCAGUAUUCGGGACAUACUUAUGCUAAAAAAUGUAUUUGUUGUUUAUCUGAAAUUCAAAUAUAA